rnacentral:rRNA from 1 species
UACGUAGGGUGCAAGCGUUGUCCGGAAUUAUUGGGCGUAAAGAGCUCGUAGGCGGUCAGUCGCGUCUGCUGUGAAAACUCGGGGCUUAACCCCGGGCCUGCAGUGGGUACGGGCUGACUAGAGUGCGGUAGGGGAGACUGGAUUUCCUGGUGUAGCGGUGAAAUGCGUUGAUAUCAUCAGGAACACCGGUGGCGAAGGCGGCUUUCUGGGUCUUACCUGACGCUGAGGAACGAAAGCCAGGGGAGCAAACGGG